UGGAUUUUAGUUUAAUAAAAAUAAUUAAUUUGCAAUUAAUAGAUAUUUAAUAAUUAAAUCUAA
rnacentral:tRNA from 1 species